AUAGACAUUUUUAAUGAUCACCCAUUUUAAUAAAUAAAACGUUUUUUCAUUAUUGUCAACUACCUCACUUUCAUUUCUGAGAGGGAUGAAGGGAUGACCUUUUUGCACCCUUCACCAAAGCAUCUGUGUCUGGUUCAGUGAUGGCUAAGUCCAGCUAAAGCACAGGUCUCACUUCCAGGCAGUUUCUUUGCUUAUUCUUUUUUAUUCCUUUUUUAAACUAAAUCAGAAAAUUUUAGCCUACAGUUACAGGUUUUCAGAAAUGACACCCAUCUGUGAGACGUUCUGAACAUUUGGAUCAAACGUGAUGCUAAACCUUUGGAGCUGUCCCUGAGGAUGACUUACAGCGUCAUCAGACACCACACUGGCCCCCCUCGCAGCCUGGAGACUGGGACAGAGCGGAUUGGGGGAAUGGCAGCAGAUGGAUUCCUUGUUCACUCUUUGAAGCAUUUCACUCUAGAAAAUAUUUUCUUCAUGUUCUGUAGCUGCAUUUGGACAUGAUUUUUAAAAUAUGCCAAUAACAUCAAUUUCUCCAACAAAAGGCAGUGGGUUAGAAAGAGCCCUUGUAAGAAAUCCUGGUACUAGCCAGGCAUGGUGGCUCACACCUGUAAUCCCAGCACUUUGGGAGGCUAAGGCAGGUGGAUCACUUGAGGCCAGGAGUUUGAGACCAGCCUGGCCAACAUGAUAAAACCUCAUCUCUACUAAAAAUACAAAAAUUGGCCAGGCAUGGUGGCUCACGUCUGUAAUCCCAGCUACUCAGGAGACUGAGUAUCACUUGAAUCCGGGAGGCAGAGGCUGCAGUGAGCUGAGAUUGCGCCACUGCACUCCAACCUGGGUGACAGAGACAGACCCUGUCUCAAAAAAAAAAAAAAAAUCCCAUUACCUGACAUCACCACCAAUUGUGGUCUCUCGCCUUGAAGCAGAAGGUUCACACCACUCCACGUACUGGAUCCAUCAAUGAGGCACGCCCCAGGAACAAGCCACAUGGCUCUAACUGCUUAUUUGAUUGUUUGACUGAAACUUGAACUCAGAAAUGACCUACACUUAACAAGGUUGAGAUGCUAGAGCUUUCCCAGCAUGGAGGAGGGAUUCCAGAGGCGUAGGGAGAUGGGACCAUUGGACUGGGUUUAACAUGUGUGACCCGCACACCUCUCUCUCAACUACACACUGCAAGAAGGCUCCAAAGCACUCUCACUUUCACUUGGGCACUGAGAAAUGCCUGGGAGCACCUGCAUCCCUGAGAAGCUUUGCAACUGCUCUCUUUGGCAGGCAGGUGCGAUGGCAGGGACACUGCCACUGAGCUGGGCUCUCUGAUUUCAAUGGGGAUGAUAGGGUUCCAAAGGAGCAGAGGCCAAAUGCCAGGACUUGACCAGCAAAGACCAGGCGGCUGCGUCUGCCAAGGGAGGGAGCAGACACACGCUGGGGAUCAAAACACCCUGGUCCGCAGGGCUCUUUGCCAGUGGCUAAUUGAACAUGGUAUCCCUAGGAAUACAAGAGGACUGACUGACGGAAUAAAGCAGAAAACCUUAGGUCUGGGAGCCAAAAAUCUGACUUGAGUCACAGCUGUGGAUAGCAACAGCCUCUCUCCCAGUUCCCAGACCUAGCUCAAUUCACAGGCCAAGAUUCUUGAAAGUAAGGCUGGGUCCCCUGAGGAAGAAGCCUGCAACACUGCUUCAAGCACAUGACACGCCUCCUCCUCCAGCCUGCAGAUCAUUCCCCAGUGCUCUGCCGGGAUCCAGGAGCACACCUUCCUUGCCAGCUGGCACAGGGCUGAUGAGCCUGUCAGUGGGCGGCUCUGGAGGGACACUGGUAAGAGGAAGGGGUUUCUCUUCCUAGUUCCACUGUGCUUUCCUUCCUUCCGACUCCCUUGGCACUCGCGGGUAUGUGGGACGCCAGUGGAGUUUACCUCCAGCAGGUUUCAGCAGCACCCAACACGGAGCAUCCUGGCUGAGUUCUGCGGCUGUCCCAGGCCUCCCAAAAAGUUCAGCUGCCCCACAGGCAGCCGCCCAGCAUUCCCCGGGAGCCCAGCCUGCUCCAGCUUCCCAGCAAGUCCAAAAGCAUGCCCUGCAAGCAGCUGUCCCGCAAAUUUCUUUGGCAUCCCAGCAAGUAAUUUCCUGCCCACAGCUUCACCCUACCAAACAUGAAGCCCUGGCCCAGGGCAACCCAGUGAACUUCUCCACCCUGGACUAGGCUGCUUUCGAUUAUUCGCUCCGCCCAUGAGAGUGGCUGUGGGACACAGGUCUGGAGGUCCUCAGCAUUUCUGUGCACUGUCAUCUCACAGAGCAGCUACUGAACAUGUGUGAAUGCCCGGUUAGAAGGGGCACCUCCCCUAGGUUUGCUGCAGUCUCCCCCACUCCCAACUAUUCAGACCUAGUAUUCCUGCACUAUGACUCCUACGUGGCCCCAGCAAGUCUUACCAUCAAUGACACCGCCCACCAGCUUCUGCACUUCAGGGCACCUGGCUCCUGGCAGUCCCAGGGAAAAGCUUCCCCACACGGAACUGGAAUGUGUGAGACACAUCCCUGGAUACAAGGGACCAAGCUCAGGAUGCCCCAAGACGUGCUGGGACUGUCCUACCAACCACUCUCUCCUCAGGGUGGCCUGGGCCCAGAAACAAUCCUGACAUCCAUCCAGGCCACAGCACUGAGCUGCACACAGAGCCCUUCAGUCAUUCCCAGGUCUUACGCAACAAACUUCAGCCAAAUGGACUGAGAGCUCUUCCCUGUAUCCUAUUGCCUCCACACCCCAUCCCUACCUCCAAUGAUGGCAGAUCCCAGUUCUGUUCUCAGCCACUCCACAUAAUAAACAAAAACCCCCAAGUUAAAGGUAGCCUAAUGAGGCAGGCAGUUCCCUUAGAAGUUUGAGGUGGAAGCCAGACAAAUCCACCCAGAGUCAUAUGAGGCCAGCAACAUCCAUGAAAAAAUGUAAACCGUCCCUGUGAGCCACAAAAAGACCCUGGCUAAGGUCCCCUUAGCCGAAGCUAGGUCAUGUCCACGCCCCAUCCAUCCAAUCAGGGAGAAGGGAAUGGGGGCUCAGGCUACGUGGGUUUCCCUCAAGGGACUGGAAAGAGCAUAGUGGGGUGGCUCAGGAGUCCCCGGCAGCUGGUAGAGGAGGACAGUGAUAUGACUCUGGCAAGGGCUCUGGGCAGGCUGGAAUAUGCCAUGUAGCUCCUGCAAGCUUCCCACAGACCCAGCACCAUGCAUGAGCAGCACCCAAUGUGGACAUGUGAACAGAAGUUCAACUUCUGGCUAAGGCUAUCCCCACAAAGGCUGCUCUCAAGGCCAUCCCCACAAAGGCUCUGCUCUCAGAUCUCCUCUCUGGCAUGCGCUGUUAAGUCAAACAAGGACAGUGCACAUUCCCUGCACACCUAAGGUCCUCCUCCAGCCAGAACUUUCUAGUGCAGAGUGAGGUGGGGCCCUUGGCUGAAGGUUUCCUCACACUGGCUGCACUCAUAAGGACUGGGUCUCUGGUGAACAUUUAUUCCAGUGCUGAAUGAGGAGGUCUCUGUGGUAGAAGGCCUUCCCCUAUAUCUGCAUUCAUGAGGUCUUCCUUGGAUGGGAUUUUGCCGAGGGUGAGAGGCUGGACCUGCAACUUAAAGCUCUUCCAAACAGGCUGUACUGAAUGGCUUUUAUGCAGCGCAAGCCUAGGAUUUGGCAGGAGGUUCCUUCCAUUCAUUGCACUCCGAGCAACGCUCUGGGUGAUGCACAUUCCAGGACUAAAUCAUCAAGCAUUUUGAAAAUUCCAUUCCAUUCCCUCCUGCCAAAACCCCCCAAGUUAAAGGUGGUUAGGGUUAGGGUAUGGUUCUCCGUUGAGAAUUCUGCUGUGAGAUGAAUCAGAGCUCCAUUCAUUUAUGUUAUUUGCUGCUUUUAGGAUCCUCUCUUUGUCCUUGACCUUGAGAGUUUGAGUAGUGUAUGCCUUAGGGUAGUCUUAUUUGGGUGGAAUCUGUUUGGUGUUCUAGACCUUCCUGUGCCUGGAUGUUUAACUCCUUCUCAAGCUUUGGGAAGUUCUCUGUUAUUAUUUCUUUGAAUCUGCUUUCUACCCCUUGCCCUUGCUCAGCAUCCUGAACACCCAUGAUUCUCAGAUUUGGUCUUUUGAGGUAAUUUUCUCUCUUGUAGGUGAUCUUCAUUCCUUCUCAUUCUUUUUUCUCCUCUGUGUAUUUUCAAAGAGACAGUCUUCAAGCUCACUGAUUCUUUCCUCUGCUUGGUCCAUUCUGCUGUUAAGAGCCUCUAAUGAGUUCUUCAGUUCAGCAAAUGUAUUUCUCAGUUCCAAGAUUUCUGUUUGAUUAUUUCCAUCUUUGUUAAAUUUCUCUGAUAAAUUUCAGAAGUGAUUUUCUGUGUUCUUGGUGAUCCCUGAGUCUCUGUAAAACUGCUAUUUUGAAUUCUUGGUCAGAGAGCUCACAAACUGUCUUCUCGUUAGGGUCACUAGAUUUUUGCUUUGUCCUUUUUGAAGAGGUCACAGUUCCCUGUUUGCUGUUGUUUCUUGUGAGUAUACAUCUGUCCUUGCAUUGAAGGAUUAUUUAUUCCAGUUUUCUCUGUCUGGCUUGUUUUGGGUUUUAUUGGAUAUUUUUGCUUAGCAAGUCUUUACCACUAGGUCACUGCCUCCUUUUCAGCUCCACAUGGCACGUUAAGCCCAGGCUCACCUCAACUCCAGAACAUGAUGGGAGCUUUGCCUGUCCUGAACUGGGAAGGUCCCAAAGGAAUUAUCCCAGCAGUGUGACAAGGCUGGUGAGGGGUUUGUGCCCAAGGGAGCUGGGAAACAUACCUCCUCCAGUGGCUGCUGCUGAACAGCCACUCUGAUUUGGCAUCUCCUGUGGCUGUUACAGAGCAGUCUCUCCAGGGCUGGGGAUGGUAGUUCCCCCUCCCCCAUUUGUCACUGCCUGUCCCCACAGAUUUCCCUCUUCAGGCAGUCAUGCUGCUGCCUGUCGGUUAAUGCAAGGACAGGUCUCCUGCCAGGGAUUCUAGCAUGGUGGGAAAGCUGGUUGACCACCUCAGUCUCACCCUUCCCAGUGUAAAAACCGGUGAGUCGGUGAUAUGGUUUGGCUCUGUGUCCCCAGCCAAAUCUCAUCUUGAAUUAUAGUCCCCAGGUGUCGAAGGAGGGACCAGGUGGGAGAUGAUUGGAUCAUGGGGUGGUUUCCCCAUGCUGUCCUCGUGAGAGUGAGUUCUUAUGAGAUCUGAUGGUUUUAUAAGUGUUUGACACUUCCUCCUUCACACACACACUCUCUCCUGCCACCUUGUGAAGAAGGCACCUGCUUCCCCUUCCACCAUGAUUGUAAGUUUCCCGAGGCCUCCCCAACCAUGCAGAACUGUGAGUCAAUUAAAGCUCUUUUCUUUACAAAUUACCCCGUCUCAAGCAGUUCUUCAUAGCAGUGUACUAAUACUGUCAGGGAAAGAUUCUCCACUCAAUUGUUGCUAGGCAGAAUCCGGGGAAGGGGCAUCAUGGGUGCGCAAGUCUGGCUCUCCUACCAUCUGCCUGGAGUUUUUUCACUUCUUUGUGGCCCCAGAAUCUGUCUCAUACUCUUUUUGAGUCCUGGGUUGUUGCUGGUGAAAAUCUCACACUGUAUAUUUAUUUUGGUUUUCUGUUGGGGAUGUGAAGCCAGCUUGAUUCUAUACCGCCAUUUUAAAGCUGAAAAUCCUCCAGGGCUAAAUCAGAGCAGACCUUUGGCGGAACACUUUCUGUGCAUUUGUAAGGACUUUCUAUAGUGUGAACUCCCCGAUGCUGAAUGAACUUAGCGAUAUGGCUACAGGUUUUCCAACCUUUACUGCAUGAACAAGGCCUUUCUGUUGUGAACCUUCCGGCACCAAAGAAAGGAGAGUCCUUUGCUGAAUGCUUUCCCACAUCAGCUGCACUCACAAGGCUCAGCACCACAGUGGACUCUCCAGUGUUCAAUGCAGCUUGCAGCUGGAGUUGUGGCUAAGAAACUUCCCACACUCACGGCACUCAUGAGACCUUUCUCCAGCACUGGGUUCCCUGUCCUCGGGUUCUCUGGUGCUGAACUGUGCAUUUGCAGCUCAUGGCCCCCUCAACAUGCCAUACUUUCCAGGUGAAAGGUUCCCCCAACUUCGGUGCUCCUGUGUGGCUCCCCUCACCGUGACGGCCUGCUGCUGAAGAGGCCAGUGCUGGGUCCCAUCCUUGCCUCACCCUAAGGGCUUCCACGAUGUGUGGACUCCACAGCUUUCCACAAGGCCCUGCCCUCGGCCCUCCUGCAGCAUUUCUCUCUGCUGUGCUGCUUCUGGGCUGGUUUAAACAGAAGCCAAAGCCUCUCCCACAUGCCUCUCAUGGGUAUGCUUUCUGCCCAGGGUGUGCUCUCUGGCACUCAGUCAGGGGCAAAAUGCUUUUCAAGACUGGGCAUUUUCUCUUCACCUCUCCCCAUGGAAAUGACGAUUAUUCAGCUUUUGCUCACACACACUUCCCAUCAGUCCUCCUCCCGCCCUCCAUUCUCCUAAUAGGCUUCUAUCAUAAUAUGGUUACUGUUCAGUGCUUAUAUUUUAGGACUAUAUAAAUACUAUUCAUAACUAAAUUAUAUGAUAGUAUUACUGCGGUAACUUCUUCUUUCCUACCCAUUUUCCUUGGAGUUACGUCCCUUGGUUUCCUAGGUACUUGUCAAUAAUUCAAUCUCAGCUCCUAUGUAAACCCUCAAUAUGUUCAGAGGCAACAGGUGUCCUAAUAGUUAAGCUAUCUUCUCUGGAGCCAGCACUAAACCCAACCUGGCUGCCUUCUAUGCUGAGUGCACGGCUGCCAUCCUGGAACCUCCUUUUGCUGUGCUCCUGGGGAGUCACCUUGCUCUUUGCAUUGGAUCUCCCAUUGCCUUUAUGCCAUGCUUUCUCCUUUUGGAGUACAUUCUCUAGUCCUUUUAUUUAAAAGGGCGUGUAAAGGCCAGGCACGGUGGCUCCCACCUGCAAUCCCAGCACUUUUGGAGGCCAAGGCAGGCAGAUAGCUUGAGUCCAGGAAUUCAACACCAGCCUGGCCAAGAUGGCAAAACCCUGUCUUGACAAAAAAAUCAGCCAGGCACGGUGGCACAUGCCUGUGGUCCCAGCUACUUGGGAGGCUCAAGCAGGAAAAUCACUUGAGCCUGGGAGGUCAAGGCUGCAGUGAGCAGUGUUCGUGCCACUGCACUCCAGCCUAGGUGAGAGACCCUGUCUCAAAAAAAUAAUAAAAAUAAAUAAAACAGUGUGUGGAAUAUACAUUUUUAAGGAGCCUACAAGUCUUUUGGCAUGCCUUUUAAUCUAUCUGGAAAUAAUCUUCCUUCAGAAUUGGAGAAGGCCCACAUUCCGUGUUUCCUAUGUGGCAUCUGAGGACUGCAAAGUUAUUGAUUCCUAAUACUCUGCAUGUGUACUGUUCAUUCCCUCCAGCCGUUCCCCGGUGUUCUGAAAUCUCACACUCAUGUGCCUGGAUGUGCACACUGAUAAGGAAUGGAAGAAGGCAGGGUGCUUUCUCCUUCCAUUGCGUUGAAACUAGGUGCGCUGAGCCCUUGUAAUCCGGAAACUGACAGCCUUCAUUCUCAGAAUUAUUUUAUUUGCUGGGAUGCAUUGAAAGAUGUGUGAGGGCAUGUCCGGGGCCACGUUACGUGUGAGGGCAUGUCCUGGGCCACGUUACGUGUGAGGGCAUGUCCUGGGCCACGUUACGUGUGAGGGCAUGUCCUGGGCCACGUUACGUGUGAGGGCAUGUCCUGGGCCACGUUACGUGUGAGGGCAUAUCCUGGGCCACGUUACGUGUGAGGGCAUGUCCUGGGCCACGUUACGUGUGAGGGCAUGUCCUGGGCCACGUUACGUGUGAGGGCAUGUCCUGGGCCACGUUACGUGUGAGGGCAUGUCCUGGGCCACGUUAUGUGUGAGGGUAUGUCCUGGGCCAUGUUAUGGAUGGCUAACUUUAGGUCUUUCCUUUUAGGCUGGUGAGAUUCCUCAAAGAAGUCUCGUUCUGCUUUAUUUCUUGCUAGAGGAUACUACUGAGCUAUGGAUUUUAGAUACUGAAAGCUGAAAGCGGCACACCUCCUCUGGUCUUUCACGAGUUUGAAGUAGGCACGGUUGCCCAACUGUGUGGAAUGGGGAGUCUAACGGCUUCUUAAACAGGCCUCGACUACUAGUUUCACCUUAUCUCACAACUACUUCCAGGGGUACCUAGAAGUGCCAAUUCCAAAUCCUCUGGGAGCUCUGCGAGACAACUCGGACGCUCGGAUGUUCCCAUUUCUUUCUUACAAUGUAGAUUUCUCAGGUGUUUCUAAGUCAACUACCAUUCACCUAUUUUCUGGAGAGGUUCCCAAUUUUGUUGCUAUUUUUAAUCAUCCUGGUGGAUUUAUGUUUUAAAAAAAUUCCCUGUCAUAUCAAUGGGAUUUCAGGAGGAAGCAAUGGUAAACAGCUACAUCUAGCUGUACAGGAGGCUGGGAAAUGAAGCCUUUAUUCUGGGAAUCCAAGUGUCCAGCUAAAAACUUUGAGUUGUAUUAUCACAGAUGGAGAGAGUGGAUGAUGAAUGGAAACUAGCAAUCUCUGCCACAUAAAUCCAGUUAGUUUCAAGGCAAAGAGAGACUGAGACCGCUCGUGAUAAAAAGCCGCCUUUGCAGGAGAGUAGGAGAGGUGGCAGAGGUUCCGGGACAAGGAAUGAAGAGGCAGAACACACAAGGAGUCGCUGACAGAUGGAUGCAUGUCUUUAUUUAAUUCGUUCAUUCCAGGUUCAUCCCACAUCUUCACAUCUCACCCUCCCACCGUCAAAACAGGUCCCAUGUAACAACAGGGGGCCAAAAACAACAGGCUUGCCCACAGUCUCCAUCACCCCCUACCCCACGGAACACUGUGGGGACAACGGUACCUUGCUUGAAAGCCACAGGUUUCAAACACUUUUAGGGGCACAACUCUCUUCAAACUGGAAACCACGAGCCACUACGUAGAACAGGCUGUCAGGGAGUUUCAACCUGGGCAACAUUUGGGGUACGUCCCUGGAGCCCCAAGUUCCCUCAGAGCAGGUGAAAACUCCUGCUUCAGAGCCCUUCUUUCUAUCCAAUCACUUGAAACGUUCCAUAGAAAGAAGAAAGAAAAAAGAACUCCCUUCUUGAAAUGCGAAUACCAAGAUUUCGCACGACCAACACUUCCACCUGUUGAAAUAAACAGUCCACAAAAUUAAGGCAUUUGGGGGCAAUUAGAGGGAAGUAAAGCAUUUACUAAAGUUACAAUAUCAUAUCAAAAGUGUUCAUUAUGCUUUUGAAGGCUCUUAACUAGGCACAAGGGCAGAAACAGUCACGGUCCCGGCCACUGCAGGCAAACACGUGUUGAUUACCAAAGCAGAAAGGGAAACAGAGAGCUGGUGGUGAGCAUUCUCUUCAGCAGGUCCCCAGGCACCAGGCCCCCCUCCAAGUCAUGCCUCACAUGCCCAACAGCAAAGAGAAGCAGUGGGAGCUGAGCAGACACUGCAGGGCAGGGCAGGGCACUGCUGGCUAAAUUACAGCAGCAACUGUACACACGAAACAGCUUCUUCAUAAACACCAUUCUCAAACUGGAUUUAUGCACAUUCAUACACUACCUAGUAUAUCUAAGAGAUCUUGAAAUCAAAGCAACAUAAAAAAGAGAGACUCGCCUGCAAUCCAGGCACUGAGCAACGACAUGUCAAGGCAACAGAAAUCCCCCUCCUGCCCCCACUCACUUCUCCAUCCCACUGUCUGCUGAGAAUUUCUAGUAUUUAUUCCACACAUCACUGUACACUUCAAAAUCUGCACAUUCCUCUCCGUGGAAUUCUCCUGGGAUGUGAAUCCCACCCACGUGCAUCAUGUACACAUCUAAACUGUUUCAUUCCACACUGAGAGGUUCGGGUUUGGAGCGUUCAUUCCACACUGAGAGGUUCGGGUUUGGAGCGGGAGGAGGGGAGUGAGGCAUAAGUGAGAAAGGAGGUCACAUGGCCCAAACAGGUACUUCCAGGAGGCCAAUCCCAGCCGGUAGGGAUCCAGGCCCCGGGAGGCCAGGCCUGCUUGCCGAGUACCGACGGCCAGGUGAGGAGGCAGAAGCUGUAGCCCCAGAGCCAGAAGACCCACACUAGUGUCAUCACCAACAUACAGGGGGGCCACAGGCUCCCAGUGCCCAGGUUAAGGUGCAGUCCUCACCGAGAAGGCCACAUCAGCUUCCUGUGAGUGUGUCCCAUGGAUCCAGGGGUGGCCAGAGGCCCAUCACCACGGGUGUUGGCACUUCCUAAAACCGCACGCAGCGAUCUCCAGACUCGUUCUUGGCCAUGAGCAGCAGAAAUGCUGCAGUGCUGCCUGCCAGCGUACAGGCUGUUCAAGAACCCAAGAGGAAUUUCUCACCAAUACGUAAACAUGCACCACAGCUAGACUGCGGUUCCGUGACUUUGGGAUUUCAGAGACAGGCGAACUUAAGAAGAAAUUCUGGGGCUG